rnacentral:rRNA from 1 species
AUUGAACGCUGGCGGCAUGCCUUACACAUGCAAGUCGAACGGCAGCACGGGAGCAAUCCUGGUGGCGAGUGGCGAACGGGUGAGUAAUACAUCGGAACGUGCCCAGUAGUGGGGGAUAGCCCGGCGAAAGCCGGAUUAAUGCCGCAUGAGACCUGAGGGUGAAAGCGGGGGAUCGCAAGACCUCGCGCUAUUGGAGCGGCCGAUGUCAGAUUAGCUAGUUGGUAGGGUAAAGGCCUACCAAGGCAACGAUCUGUAGUUGGUCUGAGAGGACGACCAGCCACACUGGGACUGAGACACGGGCCAGACUCCUACGGGAGGCAGCAGUGGGGAAUUUUGGACAAUGGGCGCAAGCCUGAUCCAGCAAUGCCGCGUGCAGGAAGAAGGCCUUCGGGUUGUAAACUGCUUUUGUCAGGGAAGAAAUCUUCUGGGCUAAUACCCUGGGAGGAUGACGGUACCUGAAGAAUAAGCACCGGCUAACUACGUGCCAGCAGCCGCCGUAAAAC